AUUGAACGCUGGCGGCAGGCCUAACACAUGCAAGUCGAACGAGUGGCGGACGGGUGAGUAAUGUCUGGGAAACUGCCUGAUGGAGGGGGAUAACUACUGGAAACGGUAGCUAAUACCGCAUACCAUCCGAUGUACCCAGAUGUGAUUAGCUAGUUGGUGGGGUAAAGGCUCACCAAGGCGACGAUCCCUAGCUGGUCUGAGAGGAUGACCAGCCACACUGGAACUGAGACACGGUCCAGACUCCUACGGGAGGCAGCAGUGGGGAAUAUUGCACAAUGGGCGCAAGCCUGAUGCAGCCAUGCCGCGUGUAUGAAGAAGGCCUUCGGGUUGUAAAGUACUUUCAGCGGGGAGGCGUUACCCGAAGAAGAAGCACCGGCUAACUCCGUGCCAGCAGCCGCGGUAAUAG
rnacentral:rRNA from 1 species